UAGGGAAUCUUCCACAAUGGACGCAAGUCUGAUGGAGCAACGCCGCGUGAGUGAAGAAGGGUUUCGGCUCGUAAAGCUCUGUUGGUAGUGAAGAAAGAUAGAGGUAGUAACUGGCCUUUAUUUGACGGUAAUUACUUAGAAAGUCACGGCUAACUACGUGCCAGCAGCCGCGGUAAUACGUAGGUGGCAAGCGUUGUCCGGAUUUAUUGGGCGUAAAGCGAGUGCAGGCGGCUCAAUAAGUCUGAUGUGAAAGCCUUCGGCUCAACCGGAGAAUUGCAUCAGAAACUGUUGAACUUGAGUGCAGAAGAGGAGAGUGGAACUCCAUGUGUAGCGGUGGAAUGCGUAGAUAUAUGGAAGAACACCAGUGGCGAAGGCGGCUCUCUGGUCUGCAACUGACGCUGAGGCUCGAAAGCAUGGGUAGCGAACAGGAUUAGAUACCCUGGUAGUCCAUGCCGUAAACGAUGAGUGCUAAGUGUUGGGAGGUUUCCGCCUCUCAGUGCUGCAGCUAACGCAUUAAGCACUCCGCCUGAGGAGUACGACCGCAAGGUUG
rnacentral:rRNA from 1 species